UUAUUUGUCCACAGAACAGCACCAAGAAAGAUCAGACAGAGAGAUGACCUGGCUCAUCCUGAAAUGGAAUUUGCCUGCAAACUGAAUGUUAGCAGUGCCUGAGCCUGCACAGCAGCUCAGCCCGAGCCCCUGAGCAAGAGAGACAUUUACAAGCAAAGACCAGAAUGCUUAUCUGGCAUAAACACAUCCUUGUGUUUAACCACAGAUGAAUGCACCAGAGCUGGAUACUUGAGAAGAGAAAGUGCUAAAGGUUGACUUCAAUGGGAAUGUUCCCUGACGAAGGUGAAGAUUUGACCCAGAAAGGUUUGAAGACCACAGGGAUUCAUCUCAUCUGCAUACUUCAGCAGUCAGCCAUUUGCUCUCUGAAUUCCAGAGACCCAAAUUUUGUAGGACACUUAAAGACCUUUUGAGUGCAGCCAGGGAUGGAAUCUGUGAAUUACCUUUACCUGAGAGCUGCCAGGCAAUAUCUGUCAGUAAGUAAUGUUUCAUUCAGUGACCAGAUAUGUGCAGAACAGUCUGAUUUGGUGCAGUAUUUGCCAUUUCUGUAAAAUGUCUAUAUUUUGUCUGUCU
rnacentral:lncRNA from 1 species